rnacentral:rRNA from 1 species
CCCUUAGAUGUUCUGGGCUGCACGCGUGCUACAAUGGCGUUUCCAGCAAGUCUGCGAACCCGAGAGGGCCAGCGGAUCUUCGAAUUGGCGUCGUGAUCGGGACAGUCGAUUGCAAUUAUUUGACUCAAACGAGGAAUUCCUUGUAAUCGCGAUUCAUCAUAUCGCGCUGAAUACGUCCCUGCCCUUUGUACACACCGCCCGUCGCUACUACCGAUUGAAUGGUUUAGUGAGAUCUUCGGAUUGGCGCCACUGCGGCUCAGCAAUGGGCUCGGUGGAUGCCGAAAAGUUGAUCAAACUUGAUCAUUUAGAGGAAGUAAAAGUCGUAACA